GAUCAUUAGUGAAUAUAGGACGUCCAACUUAACUUGGAGUCCGAACUCUCACUUUCUAACCCUGUGCACUUGUUUGGGAUAGUAACUCUCGCAAGAGAGCGAACUCCUAUUCACUUAUAAACACAAAGUCUAUGAUUGUAUUAAAUUUUAUAACAAAAUAAAACUUUCAACAACGGAUCUCUUGGCUCUCGCAUCGAUGAAGAACGCAGCGAAAUGCGAUAAGUAAUGUGAAUUGCAGAAUUCAGUGAAUCAUCGAAUCUUUGAACGCACCUUGCGCUCCAUGGUAUUCCGUGGAGCAUGCCUGUUUGAGUGUCAUGAAUACUUCAACCCUCCUCUUUCUUAAUGAUUGAAGAGGUGUUUGGUUUCUGAGCGCUGCUGGCCUUUACGGUCUAGCUCGUUCGUAAUGCAUUAGCAUCCGCAAUCGAACUUCGGAUUGACUUGGCGUAAUAGACUAUUCGCUGAGGAAUUCUAGUCUUCGGACUAGAGCCGGGUUGGGUUAAAGGAAGCUUCUAAUCAGAAUGUCUACAUUUUAAGAUUAGAUCUCA
rnacentral:misc_RNA from 1 species